CACCAGUAAAAAAUAAUAAAAACCCUAACCCCAAUUCAAUAGAAUCAGAAUCGUCGACCUCUUUUGUUCAUAUCAUACGUUCCGGUGAUUGUCUUAGAGAGAGAUAUGGCUUCUGCCGGAGAUAAAAGAGGUAUGGAUGAUGUGGAUGAUAAAC